rnacentral:lncRNA from 1 species
UUGCUUAUGAAAGGUUUAAGGAAGCAAUAACAUUUCCAAAUAAGGAAGAGGCAUAAGCUAUGAGCUAAGACUUGCCUGGGCCUGUCCAGACAUGCCUGGGUAAGACAAAGCAACUAACUGGGCUAAAGUGUAAGAACUAAUAGUUGAUAGGAGGCUUUAGAGUAAGAAGCUAUUAUUUCUAGUGUCUAUUAUUUUAUUUUUAAACCAAGACAAGCUUUGAAGGGAACUUUUUUACUUUCUACAGUGUGUGACACAUGUGCUCAUGGAUUAUUGUCCGAAGCAAGUCAUGUGACCAAGCUUAACAUCAACUGGGUGAAGAGCUAUAUGUUCCUUUCUCAAGAGGCACUACAAGUGACAUGCCAACGGGCAGCCUCUCAACUCAGGAGAUACAGUGUGGAAGAUCUUAUUGAAACCACCUUUGCAAAAAUUAUAACUGAGAAAACUAUGACAAUGAAAGAGAUCUACCUGAUUCCAUCUUGCUUCUAACCUCUACGCUCUCCUAAUUUAUACCUGGGUUUAGGCAGAACUAUUUUUUGGAGGAACUUAGUUUAUAGUUUAACUUUGGAACAAAGAUGAUCACAGCCUCAUCCCAAAACAAACUCCCUUCCUGCCUGGAGGCUAGAUUGCCUUUGUGGGACUAACAAAUUAGCUACAAGAUUAGAGAUUAUGAUUUAGGAGUCAUGCAUCUGGAGGCUACAAGAUGCUGAACCUCCCCAAAUUGCUUCUGGGGAUAACAUUACUUUUGUAAAACCUGAGAUCAGUGCUUGAGAUAUUUUACAGACACUGUACUUGAUGGCUUAUUUGGUCUUGUGGCCCCCACCCAGGAAUUGACUCAGUGCAAGAGGACAGCUGGGACUCCCAAUGAUUUCAUCUCUCACCGCACCAGUCAGCACUCCCCACUGUCCAACCCCUGCCACCAAAUUAUCCUUGAAAACCUCGAUCCCCAGGU